UGGUGGAGUGAUUUGUCUGCUUAAUUGCGUUAACGAACGAGACCUUAACCUGCUAAAUAGUUAUGCCAACUUGGGUUGGUAGCCAACUUCUUAGAGGGACUGUCAGCAUCAAGCUGACGGAAGUUUGAGGCAAUAACA
rnacentral:rRNA from 1 species